rnacentral:rRNA from 1 species
UACGUAGGCAGCGAGCGUUGUUCGGAAUUACUGGGCGUAAAGAGUGUGUAGGCGGUGCUCUAAGUUCGGUGUGAAAUCUCCUGGCUCAACUGGGAGGGUGCGCCGGAAACUGGAGUGCUUGAGCGUGGGAGAGGAAAGCGGAAUUCCUGGUGUAGCGGUGGAAAUGCGCAGAUAUCAGGAGGAACACCGGUGGCGAAGGCGGGUCUCUGGGCCGAUACUGACGCUGAGGAGCGAAAGCGUGGGGGAGCGAACAGG